CACCGCGCGCCUGGUAACAGGGGCGGCACGGCAAACCCCACCGGGAGCAAGAUCGAAUAGGGGUGGCACAUGGGCUUCGUUUCAGCUCGUCACCCGGGUUGAUUGCUUGAGGCGGCGGGUAACCGUCGUCCUAGAGGAAUGGUCGCCUAACUUCCGUAUCGAAGGAUCGGAAAUGGACAGAACCCGGCUUACAGACCCUCUGGCAUC
rnacentral:RNase_P_RNA from 1 species